rnacentral:rRNA from 1 species
AUUGAACGCUGGCGGCAUGCUUUACACAUGCAAGUCGAACGGUAACAGGCCGCAAGGUGCUGACGAGUGGCGAACGGGUGAGUAAUGCAUCGGAACGUGCCCAGUCGUGGGGGAUAACUACUCGAAAGAGUAGCUAAUACCGCAUACGAUCUAUGGAUGAAAGCGGGGGACCGUAAGGCCUCGCGCGAUUGGAGCGGCCGAUGUCAGAUUAGGUAGUUGGUGGGGUAAAGGCUCACCAAGCCAACGAUCUGUAGCUGGUCUGAGAGGACGACCAGCCACACGGGGACUGAGACACGGCCCAGACUCCUACGGGAGGAAGCAGUGGGGAAUUUUGGACAAUGGGCGCAAGCCUGAUCCAGCAAUGCCGCGUGCAGGAAGAAGGCCUUCGGGUUGUAAACUGCUUUUGUACGGAACGAAACGGCUCUGGUUAAUACCCGGGGCUAAUGACGGUACCGUAAGAAUAAGCACCGGCUAACUACGUG